GCACUAUUGAAGAGUUCCACAAUAGGACGAAAUGGCCGUCCAGUGC
rfam:Schistosoma mattheei strain Denwood, Zambia genome assembly, scaffold: SMTD_scaffold0010067